UACCUGCAGCUCUAGUGGUGGCCGCUAUUAUUGGGCCUAAAACGUCCGUAGCCGGUUUAGUAAAUGCCUGGGUAAAUCGUGUAGCUUAACUAUACGAAUUCUGGGUAGACUGCUAAACUUGAGACCGGGAGAGGCUAGAGGUACUCUUGGGGUAGAGGUGAAAUUCUGUAAUCCUGGGGGGACCACCAGUGGCGAAGGCGUCUAGCUAGAACGGCUCUGACGGUGAGGGACGAAGUCCUGGGGCACAAACCGGAUUAGAUACCCGGGUAGUCCAGGGUGUAAACGCUGCUUGCUUGAUGUUAGUUGAGCUCCGAGCCCAACUAGUGUCGGAGAGAAGUUGUUAAGCAAGCUGCCUGGGAAGUACGGUCGCAAGGCUGAAACUUAAAGGAAUUGGCGGGGGAGCACAGCAACGGGUGGAGCGUGCGGUUU
rnacentral:rRNA from 1 species